ACCCUACAACAUUAUCUCUUCGACCCUUCCCUCAACUCUCACUCUCUCGGUCUCCACUCUCCAACCUAGAAACAGAAACAGAGAAGCCGCAAUUGAGCAAUCCUUAUCAUCAAAACCCAGAUGAGCGAGACGACCUCCCUCAAAGUCUGGAACCCAGAAACAUCGCGUCUUCUAUUUGUGUUGGCCAUCUGGGAUUUGGUUGAUGCAGCCCCGUCUGGGAUUUGUUUGAUGAACCAUCUGGGAUUUGGUUGAUUCCUGCAGUGAGUGCAAUCCAAUUUCAUUCUUGAUCAGAUUUCCAAAUUUCUCCCAACCCAGUUCAAAGGCUUUACAGGUGAUUGAGCAAAACCCAGAGCCCGAGAACAAGCAGAGAGACAAAAGUUGGAAAAGUUGGAAAAGUUGGUGAUAUAGGCUUUACAGGUGAUUGAGCAAAACCCAGAACCCGAGAACAAGCAGAGAGACAAAAGGAAAUAUUGAAGUUGUACAUACACUUUCUACCUUGGAGAUCUACUUCCAUGUUUGAAGCAUCUGCUAGCUCCUCUGACCCAUCCGUUUCCAAUUCUGAACCAUCCGCUUGCAAUGAAAUUGUGGUUGCAGUCAACCAAGAAGAAAAAGCAGAAAAAAUGAUUCAAUUCACUCAAUAAUCAAGGCUGCAUAAAGAUUUAGUAUUGACUGAAGGCUGAAGCCUUGUUGCAUUGAGGAAGAGGAAGCUAUGCUGGAAAUAUGUUUGCAGUUGUGCACUUUGAUGAAAUAUUGAAUUAUUGAUGGACUAUUUCAAUUUUAGGUUAUUUGUUUCAGUUUGAGACUUUGAAUUGCUCAGUUUCAGACUUUCAGUAUUUUAGUUUGCUGCAAAUUGAUGCACCUGCAUUGUUCAAAUUGGACAGUCUAUUGUUUGUUUUUAUUUGCUGCAGUUUGCUGGAAAUGUGUAUUAUUGCAGACUUGCAACUUUGCAUUGUUCUGUAAUUCUGCUAUUUUGCAGUUCUGCAGUUUGCAGACUUUGAGUUUGUAGUUGUAUUGCUGGAAAUUGCUUGAGUGUUGAGUGUUUGAUAGUUUGCAGA